rnacentral:misc_RNA from 1 species
AACGCACGAGACCUGCGGACCUGCGGAGGGAUCAUUACCGAGUUUACAACUCCCAAACCCAAUGUGAACCAUACCAAACUGUUGCCUCGGCGGGGUCACGCCCCGGGUGCGUCGCAGCCCCGGAACCAGGCGCCCGCCGGAGGGACCAACCAAACUCUUUUCUGUAGUCCCCUCGCGGACGUUAUUUCUUACAGCUCUGAGCAAAAAUUCAAAAUGAAUCAAAACUUUUAACAACGGAUC